rnacentral:sRNA from 1 species
GAUGGUAAGAAGAAGCCAUCCGCUUCUCACCUCAUGGCUUAAGUCGAUGAGGUAUCUUCUGGUCUGAGCAAGGUCAUUGUGCCUGCGGUUGCUCUGAUUUGGUAAGGAAGACGGGUGGUCAUCAGCCCGUCUUUUAUUUUUGUU